GCUGGGAUGGCCGAGUCGUUAAGGCGAGUGAUUUGAAUCAUCAAUAUCACUUGGUGUUUCACCGCGUAGGUUCAAAUCCUGCUCCCAGCG